CCUGGAUGAUUCUGCCAGUAGUCAUAUGCUUGUCUCAAAGAUUAAGCCAUGCAUGUCCAAGUAUAAGCAAUUUGUACCGUGAAACUAUGAAUGGCUCAUUAAAUCAGUUAUUGUUUAUUUGAUAGUACCUUACUACUUGGAUAACCGUGGUAAUUCUAGAGCUAAUACAUGCUAAAAACCCCAACUUUGGGAGGGGUGUAUUUAUUAGAUAAAAAACCCAUGCCCUCUGGGGCUCCUUGGUGAUUCAUGAUGACUUAACAAAUUGCAUGGCCUUGUGCCAGCGAUGGUUUAUUCAAAUUUCUGCCCUAUCAACUUUUGAUAGUAGGAUAGUGGCCUACCAUGGUUUCAACGGGUAACGGGGAAUUAGGGUUCUAUUCCGGAGAGGGAGCCUGAGAAACGGCUACCACAUCCAAGGAAGGCAGCAGGCGUGCAAAUUACCCUAUUCUGACACGGGGAGGUAGUGACAAUAAAUACUGAUAUGGGGCUCUUUUGGUUCUCACAAUUGGAAUGAGUACAAUUUAAAUCCCUUAAUGAGGAACAAUUGGAGGGCAAGUCUGGUGCCAGCAGCCGCGGUAAUUCCAGCUCCAAUAGCGUAUAUUAAAGUUGUUGCAGUUAAAAAGCUCGUAGUUGAACCUUGGGCCUGGCUGGCCGGUCCGCCUCACUGCGUGCACUGGUCCGGCUGGGCCUUUUGUUCUGGGGAGCCGUAUGCCCUUCACUGGGUGUGCCGGGGAACCAGGACUUUUACUUUGAAAAAAUUAGAGUGUUCAAAGCCGGCCUAUGCUCGGAUACAUUAGCAUGGAAUAAUCAAAUAAGACAUGGGGUUCUAUGUUGUUGGUUUCUAGGACCGCCGUAAUGAUUAAUAGUGAUGGUCGGGGGCAUCAGUAUUCAAUUGUCAGAGGUGAAAUUCUUGGAUUUAUUGAAGACUAACUACUGCAAAAGCAUUUGCCAAGGAUGUUUUCAUUAAUCAGGGAACAAAAGUUAGGGGAUCAAAGACGAUCAGAUACCAUUGUAGUCUUAACCAUAAACUAUGCUGACUAGGGAUUGGGCGGUGUUAUCAUUUUGACCGGUUCAGCACCUUACGAGAAAUCAAAGUUUUUGGGUUCUGGGGGGAGUAUGGUCAUAAGGCUGAAACUUAAAGAAAUUGAUGGAAGGGCACCAUCAGGUGUGGAGCCUGCGGCUUAAUUUGACUCAAUACGGGGAAACUCACCAGGUCCAGACAUAUUAAGGAUUGACAGAUUGAGGGCUCUUUCUUGAUUAUGUGGGUGGUGGUGCAUGGCCGUUCUUAGUUGGUGGAGUGAUUUAUCUACUUAAUUGCAAUAAUAAACGAGACCUUAACCUGCUAAAUAGCCAGGCCUGCCCUGGCAGGUCACCAGCUUCUUAGAGGGACUAUCGGAUUAAGCUAAUAGAAGUUUGAGGCAAUAAUAGGUCUGUGAUGCCCUUAGAUGCUCUGGGCCGCACGCACACUAGAAGAUAUCCCGACAAAAUGCCGCAUCCGGCAAAAUGCUGCACCCACACAAUUAGUUGGCAAAAUGCAAUUUUGAUUAUUCCACAACAACCACAUCAGAAUUUGAAGUCAAAACUGAAUAAAU
rnacentral:rRNA from 1 species